rnacentral:rRNA from 1 species
UUACGCUGUUAUCCCUAAGGUAACUUAGUCUAAUAAUCAAUAAUAAUGGAUCUAAUAUUCAUAAAUCAAUGUUAUGUAUAUAAAAAAGUUAAAUAUAUAUUUUUGUCACCCCAACAAAACAAAAAAUAAUCUAAAAAUAUUAAUAUAUAAAUAUUUAGAUAAUUUCAUGUAAAGAUCUAUAGGGUCUUCUCGUCUUCCAAUAGAAUUUUAGCUUUUUAACUAAAAAAUUAAAUUUUAAAACAAAUAAAAUGAGACAGUCAGUUCCUCGUUAAACCUUUCAUUCCAGCCCCCUAUUAAAAGACUAAUGAUUAUGCUACCUUUGCACGGUCAGUAUACCGCGGCCGUUGAACUCCUCACUGGGCAGGUCAGACCUUCAAUUAAAUUCAAAAGGACAUGUUUUUGAUAAACAGGCG